AUUUUGACAAAAGCACUUUGGAGAGGGUUUUCCUAGUUGUGCCUCAGUUACAAGGACUUCAGCAGAAAACCAAAUUAAACCUCCCAAGAAAAAAUAAACAAUCAAAUGAACAAAAAAAAAAUGAAUAGGCAAAGUAACCAUAAACAUAACCACAAACCAGAAUUAGGGGGAAAAAGAGAAAAAGCUUUAAACUUCUGGCUUAUUUUUCUCUGAAGGUGAUUACGUUUUCCACAGAAAACUGAGAGUGUGAUAUUGUUUUUUAAAAGUGCAAUGUAACCUCAGUUCUGCUGCAAAAAUUCUCAAUGACAUAUAGAAUCCAAUGCUUUUUUUGAGACUAACUUUGAUCAUAUAUAAAAUUAGUGUGGAAAUCAAAUUAGCCACAAGAUCCCUUCACCUCCAAAAUCUCACAUUACUUAUAAAACAAACAAACAAAUCGCAACAAAAAAAAUCCACACAGUUUUUUUCACUGAAGUUCGUCAAAUAUUUGCCAACUAAAAAAUAUCACUUCUGAAAUAUUAUAGCAAUGGUUGCUUUAAGAAACAUAAAGUACAGGAGGUUACACGAAGAAAAGCAAAUGCCAGCAGUACUUAAUUUUGAAGAUAGAAGGAUCAUUAGAUCAAAAAAGAGGUUCAGAUAAUGAACUCACUUUUAAGUCUCAAUCAUUCAUAAAUUUAUUUUUGAAAUUACCCUAUCAUUGACAUUUUUUUCUCUGUAAAAUAAACUAGAUCUCUAAUUAGAAAUUUGACUAUGCUCAGUAAACUUUAGCAAGCCUCAUUUAAAAUAUCAGAGCUUACUACUAUGCUCCGUAUAAUUUAAUACACUUUGAGAUGUCAACAGAAUCUUACUAAAGAGACAGGAACCUGCCCAAAGUUCCAAACGGAAAAUGUGGUUACAAUCUUGGUCUCUUGACAUACGUUCCUUUAAAUAAUUAUUUAAGUUCUAAAGACCAUGUCUUCUAUUUCAAUCAAACUUUAAAUUGGAAAUGAAAAUGAAAUCUGUAAUUUACUAAUUAUUGGAUGGCUAGACGGAUGGAUGGAUGCUGGAUAGAAAUUUAAUGACUGCUUCCCUUGGUAUAUAGUGCUACAUAGGUGUGAGAGAUUUGAUAAAAAGAAUGGAAAACAAGUAGAUUUGCAAAACAGUGCCAUUUAAUUUAAAAUUAUUUUUUCUCUAAGUUGCUGUUUGGAAACCCAAGCAUUACUAAAAAAAAAAAAAAAAAAGGAGAGAGAGAGAGAGACUUAAAUUGACUCUCUUUUUGAUGUACAAUUUAAGUAUAAAAAUGAUAAUUUCAAGAAGAGGGAAGUAAAAGUUAAAGUAAGGGAUACAAUGACAUUCAUAAAUGUUCUUUCUAUUUUCUUUUACCUUCCUCCAAAAGUGAAGAGAAUUAGUGAAAAGAAGGGAUGCCACCAAAAUGAAUUAUGACUUAAGAGAUAGUUUUAUUUUGUUUAUUUUCUGGGCUGGGAAAAGUGAAAUUCACAGAUUUAUUUAUUUUUAAUCAUAACACAGUAUCCUAUUUAUUUGAAUAUGAAAGGAUGAUAAUUGUAAACAUUAAGAUGCCCAGAAUAUAAAAUUCUCAUUGAUUCCAGCUCUCUAAAACUGGCUAAUAUUAAUAUUUACACUGCAUUGCAUGCUUGCUACAUGUCAUGCACUGCACAUUAUUUUAUUUAGUCCUGUCAGUGUUACUCUCUUUACCUCAUGGAGUAGAGCAAGUAGAGCGUUGGCUCAAGGCCAGACUUCUAAGUGACUACACUGGGAAUCAAACCUAGAUAUUUCAAGACCAUGAAUUCUGUGUCUUUCUACUACUCAUAUACCACUGGAGCCAGUAAUGCACAGCUGUACUGUAGGAAGUCUCCUGCUUUGCAACAGCUUUCUUCCAACUCUGGCCUAGGCUUCUGGAAGAAUUGGAGAGUGUUUGGAUGUGACAGAUAUUUCCUCUCUAUUUGCCUUGAAAUGCCCACUAAGCACAGACUUGGGAACUAUAUUUGGAGAAUCUUCCCUACAAGUUGGCAGAGACUGUAAAUAGCAUGAAAGUCUUCUGCCUGAUAUUCCAGUGCUUUGUAUUGACUAGACCUUUCCGCCUCCAGAGAACGUUGUUCAUCAGCCUCCUCAUUUAACUUCCGUUAUUUGCAGCCAUUUUGCCACACUGAUGCUUUGGCUCAGUUCCCCAGGUUGUGUUUCUGUCUGUUGCCUCAUACAGUGGGUGCUGGGAGAGGGCAGGUCUGAAUCGAAGUAACCAGCAAAAAGAAACAAAUAAAACUUCCUUGUGAAUUGCAUUUAUGGCUCUUCAGCUUGUUAAAUCCUAGAACUUUCCCCCAUCCUUUGCUUUUGUGGGUUGAACGUAGGAUAUCUCUAUGCACAUCUAACACUGAAUUCAGAGUAAAGUCUUUUACCUCUCAGCACAAAUCCUGGUUUAAUGGAAAAUAAAGUCUAUCUCAGUUUGUCCUAGACAUUAGUUUGUUUUUUUUUUGUGAGGAAGAUUCUCCCUGAAUUAACAUCCAUUGCCAAUCCUCCUCUUUUUUUUCACUUGAGGAAGAUUAGCCCUGAGGUAAUAUCUAUGCCAAUCCUCCUCUACUUUGUCUGUGGGAUGCCUCUGCAGCAUGGCUGAUGAGUGGCGAAGGUCGGCACUUGGGAUCCAAAACUGAAAGCCCCAGGCCACUGAAGUGGAGUGCACAGGACUUUAACCACUCAGCCACGGGGCUGGUCCUAGUCCCAGAUGUUACUUUAAGUAGUUAUCAUUUCCUUCUUGCUUUUGCCCUUCAACAUAUCUUAUGUCAGGUGAAGAAUAAUUUGUGAUGGAGGGGAGACAUGACAGUACAAACACUUUCCUUAAUACUUGCCAAGAAAAAAGAUGUUUCAUAAAUGAUAUUAUCAUCACACAAAACGUUUUUCUCCCUAUGUUUUUGUGUAAUUGAUGUCUUAUUACCACAGGAUGGCUGUCACAUCAAGAGGGAGAAACUUUGGUGAUAGCAGUAAUAAUAAUAGUUAUCUUUUAUUUUGAACUUGCUAGAAAUAAAGUUUUCUACAAAGUGUUCCACAUAUUUAUUUUUUUAACCAAUGCUUAAUUAGAAAUUUACAGUUUCCAAAGGUAAUUUCACAAAAACAAUUUUAUAACUAUAUUUUUAAUAUAAGUGGCUCUAUCCACCAAAUUUGAAUUUAUGCCUGAAAUUGAAAAUAGAUGUUUUGAAUCCUAACAUUUAAUUUGGUGGCUCCCCACAGAACAAAGUACAAAUACCUUGAGGUAAAUAAAACCAUGUUUAUUUGAUUCUUCCACAUGCAAACCUCCAAAUUGUCCAGAGACUUAUCUCAUUUG
rnacentral:lncRNA from 1 species